rnacentral:sRNA from 1 species
UCUAUCAAUCUAUCAACAUCUAUCUUAUAUCAUCUAUUUCACAUAUUUAAUAUGAACAUCACUACCUAUCAUCUUUCUAUCUACUAUCAAUCUAUAUAAUAAAUUCCCUAUCAUCUAUCAUGCAACUAUUAACAUUUGUCACUGAAUGCCUACUGUGUUAAACACUUAAAUGUUUAAAAGUCCACCAGUAAAGGGAUAUACUUAAAUAUGCAUGCUCCAUACAAAAUUUCUUAUGUAUAAUUUAAUGUGCAUGAAAACAGAAAGUCUUCAUCAGAAGUAUGACAUUCUUCUUUUUUUGUCUAAAGGGAACAUGGCAAGUUCUAGCAACACUUAGCAGCACAGGGAAGAAAAUCAAGAUAGCAAAGUAUAUGAAAGGAGAAAACCAAGGGAAAUUGCACUGUUAACAAGCGAGUGGAUAAAAAUAAAU